rnacentral:rRNA from 1 species
GACGAACGCUGGCGGCGUGCUUAACACAUGCAAGUCGAGCGAAGUAUUCAAGACAGAUUUCUUCGGAUUGAAGUCUUGAAUAUCUUAGCGGCGAACGGGUGAGUAACGCGUGAGAAACCUGCCUUUCACAAAGGGAUAGCCUCGGGAAACUGGGAUUAAUACCUUAUGAUACUUACAUUUCACAUGAGAAGUAAGUUAAAGCGCAAAGCGGUAGAAAGAUGGGCCCGCGCCUGAUUAGCUAGUUGGUGAGGUAAUAGCUCACCAAGGCGACGAUCAGUAGCCGAUC